rnacentral:lncRNA from 1 species
AGCUUGUCUCGCUGGAAUUUGGAUGCAGAAGCGCUUGUUCCUGAAAAUAAAAGCCCCCCACCUGGGAGGGACAGCGCCACAGGUGACCCACCUGGAAAUUCCAGCAAAGCAGCUCCUGCUGGAGCUCAGUUUCUCAGAGUUCGUGCCCCAGAGAACACAGAAUAGUAAACGAGGGCUCUUCCAGCUGUGGAGUUACCCUGUGAGGGAAGCAAGCACCACGGAGCUCAGGGAUUUCAAAAUAUCUUCAAUGGAAACUGGCUGUAAUAUGACCAAUAAUCCCAUGAGGCUCUUCGGUGUGAACCCACUGACAGCUGCUUCAGUGGACAAGCGAGUUGGCUCCCACCCUGCACUGCGGGCACCACUGAGUCUCUGCCGUCCAUAUGCUGAUGGAGACUCUUUCAAGGACACGAGUGAGCCUCAUAUUAAUUUAUGCUCAACUCUAGAAAACAACAGUGGAGAACUUUUAACUGCUCCAAACUGGAAUCUGAAGUGUGGAAAUAGCAGUGUGGAGGAAAAUUUAACAGAUGAAAGUGAUUUAUCAGAAAAUGAAAAAGCAAACGAUGCUUUACUCAGCUAUUGUAAAAAGAUGGACCUGAACUUAAAGCCAGAAACAAUAGAAAAUGUUGAAGAACCUUUCACAGAGGAACUGAAUGAAGUAUUUCCAUAUCCUGAUUUUCUCCCCCCUCCUUUCAGUACUUUGGACUUGCACAAAGUAGCGCUCUCAAAAUCUGACAGUUGGAAAAUGUCAGUGGAGACGCCGGCCAGCUCCCUGGAGCCGCUGAUGGCUCGUUUGCUGGACAUGGAGAGACUUCAGCACCUGACCAUUCAGAGAGAGAGGCCCAGACUCCAGACCUCCUUCUGUGCCCCGGUCGCCACCGAACGACCCCCUUCCUCCAAAGCUGUCUCCAAAACGAGACAGCCCAAACCUCCUGAUGCUGUGGGGCUUCAGAUGGCUUGUGCAGAGAAAAGUCAUGAGAAGAUGAAAAACAGUUCUGGUUCUUACAAGCCUGAAUACCGUGCUCCCAAGUGGAACUGGAACAGCGCUGGCAAAUACAAGUGGGGUUCCAGACCAGCUCUGAAAACCUCGUCCACCCCAAAACAGGUCAUUGCCGUUCACGAUGACGUUAAGGAUCCCAACAUCUCCAUUUUAAACCCAUGCCAAGAACUCACAAUCAAGCCCGCCCCUGUCCAGACGACUCAGCUGCUGGUUAAAACGGUCUCGGCUAGAUGCCUGCCGCCAAAGUCUCCCACACCGAUUUCACCCACAGCCCUGUCUUUUCCUGAUGGUCACAGGGAAGAGAGCCAGGCACCGAGGGCCAAAAAGGAACUUUACCGGAAAGGUGUGGUGCUGGGCAGGCCAUUUCUGUGUUCAGAAGCUGAGCUGCUGUUUGUCACCUUCAUUAAUAGCUAA